UUACGACCGGCAGGCAGAGACGCUUUCGGCCACUCGAGCCUCUCUUCCUCCCCGGCGCCGGCGAAUCGUUGGGCGAGCCGCGCGGUCACGUGACCGCGAUAGAGGCGCUUCCCCUCACGCUCGCCACACCCUGUAAAAUCAGUGACGGCAACCACCACCGCCGCCGUAGCCGUCACGGCCGCCACCACCACCACCACCACCACCACCACCAUCAUCGGCAAACCCCCGACACCGACCUCCCUACCAGCGACGACGACGACGACGACGACGACGACGACGACGACGACAACACGGAUACCUCGGAGUGCGGCGUGGCAGCGACACGGUGGCCGCGCAACGACGAAAGAGAGAUCGAUCGACCUCUCGCGCCGGAUGGCCGGCGUUCCAUUAACGCGAGCACCUAAACCAGCAUCGCGCCACGGCGCGGUUUAUAGACGCGGUUUAUAUCUCUAAUCAGGCGAUUCACCUUCUCUUAUCAAGAUAACCCAAAAAUGUCAAUUCGGAAGAAUGGAAAGCGGAAGAGAAAUCACUAUAAAACUUGCGAAAUCAAUGCGAGUAUCGAAGAUUGAGAGGUGGGAGAGAAGAAGGGAGGAGGUAGAAAUGUUCCACUUACUUUCUGGAUACUUGUAAGUGUGCGUGAUGUCUUCUCUUGUCCAUCUACCAAUCGCUUUCGUGCUGAUCAGCUGGCCGAUGCUACGGAGUCAUCAUCGACUCAUUAUUCAACGCAAUCAAUGCUAAUAAUCGUUACGACGAUUAGUACAAUAGAAUAAUUCGUCAUACGUACCCGUAC